AGAGAGAGAGAGAGAGAGAGAGAGAGAGAGAGAGAGAGAGAGAGAGAGGGGGUCACCGAGAGAGAUAACGACGGUGAUGAUGAUGAUGAUGAUGAUGAUGAUGAUGAUGAUGAUGAUGAUGAUACAAAGGGACGGCUCCUUUGCCUCCGACUCCUCUUCCUCCCCCCAAGGCGCACCAUCCCCUCCCCCCCAGCUGCCCCCCCGCCCGGCCCCAGAGGAGGGCCGAGGACUCAGAACCCACCGACGGUUCUACUGACUGACCCCUGACCCCUGACCACGCCCAUUUCCUCCACUGGACCCUCCCCCCCCCGACCCGAGUCAGCAGAACUAGCCCGGCCACCCAAUCGCUAAGGACAUCCAUCGUGUUCGGCCAGCUGUGAUUGGCUAGUGAAAAGGGGCGUGUCCCGCUCCCCUUCCCCUUCGGUGGUGAUUGGUUGACUUCCGGUGGCCGCACUUCCUGUCUCUCCACCGUUGCCACCCAGCUCGACGUCUUCUCUGCAUCACUUAAUUUAGCUUUACUCCCUGACGUCUGUCGGACAGACGGUAACUGGAACGUUAGGAUUUUUUUAUUAUUAUUAUCGUUAGUAAAUUGUGUGUGAAAAAAAGGGACAUUUGUUCGUACGUGUGGUGACGGGGCUUUGCUCUCUUCGGAUGUUCGUCUGUGCUUGAAUAAGUGCUUUUCGAAGGUACCACAUGACUGAAUGAUGUGACCCUCAGCUCAUUAUCUACUUUGCACAGGCUGAUGAUGAUGAUGAUGAUGAUGAUGAUGAUGAUGAUGAUGAUGAUGAUGAUGAUGAUGAUGACGAUGAUGCGUCCUCGCGUAGGACGUCGAUUGUGUCCGUCGUUCUGACCUUUGUAGAAUCAGACGCAGAGAAGGAAUUGUAAAACCAAUAAGAUUGCAAACCCCACACGGGCCACAAGGGGUGCAAGAGAGUUGUCGGAAGUGUCCGAAAAAAUAGUUUAUUCUUACUUUGUUCAACUCGUAUAACAAUCUCACCCUUUAAGAUUCACAGAAGAUGGUUAUAUAUGCAGCAGAUGUAAGGCAUAAAGAUAGGAUAGUGGUUUCUGGCAGGUAGAGCUAUAAACCAGUGGUUCACGGACGGCUCAUGCCAGAAUCGGCUGUCCAGGUCGAACUACGACGACCGACGGAAGAAACUGAUCCCACUGAUCAACCACCGCUUGGGGCUUCAAGUCCGAACGAGUUUAGUGCCUGCUGCCCAUCCCUGUUCCUGUACAAAGUAAAAGCCAUGUCUGUACCGCUAAAGCCAUUCUCCUUGUGUUGCCGUGUCGCUCCAGUUCUCGAAAGAAGAAACACAUGCUUUCAGAUGACCUGAUCUCACGUGUUAGUUUCUGGAAUUUUUUGUGUUAAAAAAAAAAGUUCUUAGAAAUGUUACGACAUGCGAUAAAAUCCUUUCCGGCUGUCGAGACGGACGUUUGAAAACGAACCAGAAGCAUGUUCAGUAUUUUUCGGGGGGGGCCGAAAAAGAAAUUGCAUCAAGAAAUGCGGCCUCAUCAUUAAGGGGGGUUUUGUGGAACACAAUAUUCUCUUGUUAUGAUGUCUGUGUCUUCGUUGUCACUGUAAAGACCGACUACUAUAAUCCCGGUCCGAAUGCAGCCGGGUAAAGUCGGACCACUUGCAUGCGGUCGCCAUACUGUGUCGUCCAUUGUGUACAACACUGCGCCGGGUUCAGAAGCGCUCAGGGAUUUAUGCAGCAGCACUGUGUUUAAGCUCGCUAACUUGUUCCUUGUUUUUCCUGUGACUGUGAUUUGGGUUUGUUUGUGGUGUUUUUGUGUGAAUUUUCUUGUUCUUUGGGGGCUGGGAGUUUGAGCAUCGCAGUACGAGACGAAAAACGGUUUUGGGAACCUGAGUGACUCUAUUCCGAACUUUUACCGAAGUUCGGAAUUAUUUUGUGUUUCGGUUGGAUCGGUUUUGCUUUUUCUCGGCUCAAACGGAGGAGGAAGCUGAUCUUUAGUUUUGGAUGAUGUCAGAUCUCGCCGAGGUGUCGGAGGCAUCUUGUCGCUCGGACAUAUCGGAUGCAAACCCUUCUCUUCGCUAACCCCUUUAUCGUGAUUCUAAGCCAAAUCCCAGCGCUUUGUGGGUAGAAUGACAGGCGGAACUGGAGAUGAAAUGUUGCGUCGACGUUUACAGAUGGCACUGGUAAACUCUGUGUUGUGCGGUGGGAUGUUAGCGAUGGAAGGAAACAGAAUACAUUCUUUCAAAAGGGCUGACGACUAGCUGUCGACUAAUCCCGACAGUAAGCUAAUAUUUGUGUCCGCCCUGAUCGUAGUGCUGUCCAACCCCCCCUCUAUUUGGCUAGUGUCCCCCUUCAAAUAGCCCCCAACAUUUUGAACUCACGGUUUUAAAUCAGAUGUCAACUGCUUGGAAGUGGCAAGCAUGCCUCUGACGCAGGUGUGCAUGUGUGGGCGUGUGCAAGUGCAUGUAUGUGUGUGUGCGAGGGUGUGUGUGUGUCUGAAUGUUUGUGCGUGUGUGUGUGUGUGUUUGCAUGUGUCUGUGAGGGUGUGUGUGUGUGUGUGUGUUAAGUGCAUGCGUCCGUGUGUGUGUGUGUGCGUGUGUCUGUGUCUAAGUGGGUGCGUGUGUCUGUGUGUGGGGCAGGUAGUGGUGAGGUCAAGGUCAAGGCAUCAGGGUCAACUAUCAGGACAUCAAGAAGUCCUUCACCUUCUAGGCAGCAACGAUUGACUUUCCAUCUGAUCUACGUUUCACUUCAGUUUUCUACGUUACCUUCCUUUAAA